GGGAGCAAGCUCCUGCUUUUGGCCUUGGCUGCAGAUGAUGGACAGGCUGGUGGUACCCAUGCUUGUAGACUGCUUUGGAGAAUGGGAUCCAGAAUGGGAGCUGGUGCAGAUUUCACAGCACUAGGGGUGGUCUUUGUGGCAUCCCGGAUGAAAAGGCAGAAGGAGCAGCAGAUACAACAGGCAUUCCAGGGGUUCCACAUUCUUUCUCUGGUCUCUUCACCGUCCCAAGAGCUGUAAAGCCUUUUCCAUCUAGAAGUCUGCUACCCCUGUGUCACAUAGCUGUAGAAAGAACUUAACCCUGAUGGUUCACGUAGUGAGCAAGAAUGUUUGCAGGCUGGAGCUAGACCUGAUGCUGAGCACGGAGACAAGUCCCACCUCCCUCAGAAGAGACCGUGCUGGUCGCUAAGGGGCCAUCUCAAUGUGAACAGUUCGCCACCCAGAUUGCCCUGGAACUCCUGCAUAGACAGCCUGGCCUCCAACUUGAAGCAACCCUUCUGUUUUAGCCCCCAGGGUGCAGGGAUUAAAGCGAAAGAAUGAGAAGUCACCUGAAUGUCCAAGAACUGGAAACAAGUUCAGUAAAUGAUGGCAUACAACCUGGUGGUAAGAGGCCUUCCAAGAGGUUCACUAAGAAUAAUGACCUGAGAAAACGCUCCUUGCUGUUCCAAUGAGAAGGAAGAAAAACAAUCGGUUCGCUACUCCAACAUCGCUAAUCCAAAUGUCAACAGUGAUUAGCAAGCACCUGGGGUGGAAGCACAGGGUCCCAUCUGGUCCUCCAGUCCAAGCCGAUGUCAAAUCACCAUGGAGCUGAAGCUGGCCUUGAACUCCCAGCGUUGGCCUCUACCUCUGAGAAUUGAGAAUAUGCGAAUGGACCAUCAUGCCUGCCUCUAACACUUCUUAAACAAACUGUAGCCUCCUUCACUCAAAAGCCAAAGAGUAAGGUGGCAAUACGGCUCAGUGGGUAAAGGCGCUUGCUGUUAACUCAGUUCCAUCUCCGGGAUGCACGUGGUAGGAAGAGGAGAAAAACAACUCCUAAAAGUUGUCCUCUGACCUCCACAUGAGUGAUGGCAUAGACAUCCCCGUCUCCUACUGCAAAUAAUAUUAAUUCCAUAAAAAUUUAAGAAGCAAUCAAAUCAAGGGGCUGGACUUGUGGUUAGGGUCAUAGAGUGGUUUACCUAGGAUGCAUGAAGCUCUGGGCUUGACUUCAGAACUUCAUGAAUGAGGGGUGGCAGUGCUGUGACCCGAGCACAGCAGAGAUGGAGACAGGAUCCAUGGCUGGUCUGGGACACAGUACCCUGCAACUCAGUGACAGAGUGUUCGUCUAGUGGGCACGAGGACCUGAGUCCAAUCCCCAGCAUCAUGAGAAGAGAAAGGAACAGCAGAAGAAACUGGUGGCCGAACUUAGCAGCAAGUUCUCUGCCAGAACAAGUUUCCAUGCCUGCCCUUCCUCUUGGUCUGAGAGAGCAAGGCUGGCCUAUAGAAGGCUGCAUGUCCUUCCCUUUCAAUUUGUUCACUCCCUUCGAACCUUGAGCUGUCCUCUAGUAGUAGCUGGACUGUUUGUGGCCACCAUGCCAGAGAGGCCAUGUGUGAUGCGAGCAGGGGCUCCAGUGGAUAGACCCCAGGGCCAUCCAUCCUCUCUGUCAUCAGUAAGACACCAGGCAUGAGAACUAAGCCGUCUCGGGCUCUCUGAGUGUGCCCAUCUGUCGCCAGCUGAGCUCUGGUAGCCACAUGGAGCAGAUGAGCACACAGCUAGUUCUGCCUGAGUGUCUGACCCGGCAAAGUCACGGAUAAGGUAAGGUGUCUGUUGUUUAAGCCGCUGUGUUUGGGGGGUGGUUUAGGGAGCGACAGUUAUCAAAGACAUUCUCCUUGGUGCCUUUAUGCCUUUCGGUUUCUGCCUCCACCUCCCCUCCACUUCACAGCCAUGUUUCUGGGAAGCUCCACUCACAUGCUUUAGCUCACAGCUUAAAGGGCACUUCCUUGGGAAGGCUCUCUCUACACCCUCAGUUUAGCUUUUGGUUCGCUGGUUAUCGGCACUCCAAGCUCUUCCUCCCAAAGUGCUUAUCACAGCCUCUAUUUAUAUACGUGUGAUUCCUUGAUUAGUGUCUUUCUCCCUCACCAGAUUGUGAGCUCCGGAGGGGUGGGGACUGUGUAUGUCUUGCUCAUCCACAUAUUCUCUUGCUUGAUAUAUAGUAGGCGCUCAGUAGAUAGCCUCGUGAAUGAAUGAUGAAAUUCAAGUGAGCUAGCUGUACUGUAUUACACUGAGGCUCCUUGGUAAGAAGACUUUCUAGGGCCAUAGAAAUGGAUUAGUGAUUAAAGGCAGCUGUGUCGUCAAUGCCAGCACUUGGGAGGCA
rnacentral:sRNA from 1 species